UGUUUUCUUGCCUACUUUUUUUUUUUUUUAAUAAAUUUUGGAGUAAUUUGUCACACAGCAAUAAAUAAGACGCUUAACUGACUUUUCUACAUUGCUGAGCACCUGAAUAUAUGCCUGUUUAUCUUUCCAAUGGUUCAGUCUCACAUUCUUUAAACAUCCACUCUGACAAGUUGUCCCCGGAGAGGAUGUGUUACAUGUACAAAUUCUUCGCUGUUUGGUUUCACCUUGCCUUUUGGGGUUAUGAUCUAAAGCCCUGAUUCACAAGCCAAGAAUGACUCAGGACAGAGUUGGCAGGACGCUCUCUGGGUUAUUCCUUCCAUCUUCCUUCCUUCCUACCAGAGAAAAAAAUAGAAAAAAGAAAAGCUCCCCAACAUAUAUGCCAUACUUGUUUUGAAUGUUAAAGAUUCAUACCUGCAAAAAAACAAGUUUAAUGGAAUUUACUUCUUCCCAUGAAGCCAAAAAUGAAAUGGGUAAACUCUCAAUUAUUCUUAUUAUCCUUAUACUAAAAAUGAAAUUUGAUUUCAAUUAAGACAGGGCAAAUUGUAAACUAAAAUCCUAUGCUAUGACUGGAUUGACUUGAUAUCAUAAAGUCAGCCAUUAAGUUGGCAAGCUGACAGAAUCAACUUUUUUCGGACUUUGGCACGUAACAAAAAUCUUAAUGCAAAGAGGGGAAUGCUUAUAGAAGAAAGAGACUGUUACCAUUUAGUAAUAAAGUACUGUGUUUUUUGCUUAC